AUUGAACGCUGGCGGCAUGCCUUACACAUGCAAGUCGAACGGUAACAGGUCUUCGGAUGCUGACGAGUGGCGAACGGGUGAGUAAUACAUCGGAACGUGCCUAGUAGUGGGGGAUAACUACUCGAAAGAGUGGCUAAUACCGCAUGAGAUCUACGGAUGAAAGCAGGGGAUCGCAAGACUUUCUCCUACUAGAGCGGCUGAUGGCAGGUGAGGUAGUGGGUGGGAUAAAAGCUUACCAAGCCGACGAUCUGUAGCUGGUCUGAGAGGACGAUCAGCCACACUGGGACUGAGACACGGCCCAGACUCCUACGGGAGGCAGCAGUGGGGAAUUUUGGACAAUGGGCGAAAGCCUGAUCCAGCAAUGCCGCGUGCAGGAUGAAGGCCUUCGGGUUGUAAACUGCUUUUGUACGGAACGAAAAGCCCUGGGUUAAUACCCUGGGGUCAUGACGGUACCGUAAGAAUAAGCACCGGCUAACUACGUGCCAGCCGCCGCGGUAAGAC
rnacentral:rRNA from 1 species